AGUAGUCGGUUGUUAAUAAAGUACCCCAAUUAUGAAUCACUCCAUCAUCACUUUCCUUAUUAUAUUCUGUUUCCUUCUCCAAAACCUUACACACUCUAACUCUACUACAGAAAUGUCACACUCACUCUUCACACUUACCAUUCUCUUCUUCACACUCUCUUCAUUCGUAACCUCUCACUCCCCUUCUUCGUUGUCUUCUUCUUCUUCUUCCUUCUCAUAUUCCCAACCUCAACCUUCUUCCUCUUCUCCUUUGAUCUCCGAAUGGCAAUCCGCACACGCCACCUACUACGCCGCCUCCGAUCCACGUGACGCCGUCGGCGGCGCGUGCGGAUACGGCGAUUUAAUCAAAGUCGGUUACGGUCAGGCCACGGUAGGGUUGAGCGAGGUGCUGUACGAGCGUGGCCAGAUCUGUGGCGCGUGCUUCGAGGUGCGUUGUGUUGAUGACCUAAAGUGGUGUAUACCUGGAACCUCUAUCAUUGUUACCGCUACUAAUUUCUGUGCUCCGAACUAUGGCUUCACAUCUGAGGGUGGUGGACACUGUAAUCCUCCAAAUAAGCACUUUGUUCUACCGAUUGAGGUUUUUGAGAAGAUCGCUAUCUGGAAAGCAGGGAACAUGCCGGUGCAGUAUCGCAGGUACUCUUAUCAUUUUUUUUCUAUCUUGCAUGUUGCUAUGUUAAAUAAUUUAAGAAACUGAAAUGAAUCGUGAUUUUGAAAUUUUAAUCUAGGGGAAUCUUAGAAGUGCCGUAAGAGAAGUUUAAAAAUAGAAAACUAUCUUGGAAAAUGUUGCAUUCAGACUUUGGAAACUUAGGGUAGUACUUUUUAAUGCAAAUUUUCUUUAUUUGGAUUCCUUAAUUAUGAUAGUAGUUAACAUUGACCCAUUAAUGUCGUAGUAAUAAUUUAAUGGUAGAUGCGUCUUAUAACCUUAUUCUCUCGCUUUACAUAGAAGUUUAGUAAUUACUAGUUUAGAAAUGUUUAUUUGCUUUAGAGCUUUGACUAUUGCAACACGCAUUGUUGGUGAUUAAGAAGGAAAAAAAGAGAAACUGUGGUGGAAUUAACACAAAUUGUAAUUAAAAUCUCAAUGCAUGUUUGGUUAAGCCAAAAUGUUAGAGGAAGAUGGAUAGUGGAUUGUUUCUUUCAAAAGGAGGUUUUGAUUAUUAGCAAUUAUGAAAAUAAACUAAUCUAAGUCAAUCACAGUUUUUCAAAGAAGUACCAACGGGUGUUAGUUAAAGUGGUACAUGCUGCAUUGUCCUGACAUUGUUGCACGGUUGGUUAGAGACUCCAGCAUCAGUAUUGGGAAGCAUAUGAGAAUGAGAGGUUUCCUAAAAAAUGUAGGACUAAUAUUUGUUAAGAAUUUGGUAGAAAUCAUGUAAGAAUCAUCUCAAAAGCACCCACCCCAAACAAUAAUAUUCAAUCUUUUUUAUUUCAUUGCACCUUUGGCCAAGUUCAAUUGAAUUUUUAGACAUGAGGUUGAUAGGAUUGACACAUCUCUAGUUGGUUAUGCUUAUAAUUAUUUUGGCCUUCACAUAAAUUGGAAUCAUGUCAUAACUUAAUAACCCAUUACUACAUUUUUCUUGAAAGCCAUUCCUUGCCAUGCCUAUAGUUAUGUUAUCUUCCCAGAACACAUGUCUACUUUCUCAUUCCAGCAGCAUGAUGGAGUAUAAUCCUUACUGGGUGACCUUGAUGAAAAUUUUGGUUAUAGUAUUUUCAUUGUUCCGUGUGACACUUUGUUUGAUGAUGAUUUCUUUAUGCUUUACUUUAAAAUUUCUAAAUCUUAGCAUGCAGAGAGAAUUCACGGAUAGAACUAUAUUGGGUCUUGUUGGCUUAUAGAGGAUAUAUGCUCCCUAAAUAAAUUAUAUCAUUUGUGUUAAAUAUAGAUUUUCUUUCUAAAAAAUGGUUGAAAUUUCAUAAUUGUGAUACAAAUAUAUCUAUAGUGCAUCUCUUGCACGAAGAUGUAGUAAUCUUCAGCUUACUGCAACGUAGUCUGUUUCAUUGAGAUAUCAUAACAUUUUUAGUGGAAUAUGUACUUAUAGAAUUAGUACAACAUUUAUCAUUGAAUCAAGCCACCCACCAUUUUUUGUGAAAUGUGUACCAAUGCACUAAAUGAAUGCAGACAAAUGAAAAGAAAAUAAGAAGAAAAUAAGAGUUGUGUUUUCUAAGUAGAGGGUAGUUUAGUAUUUUAUUCACUCAUUUUAACUUUAGUUAACGGUGUUAUAUCAAAGUGAGGUAUGUGUAAGGGUAAAAGAAGAAGGGUAGUGUUUGUAGUUUCAUUAAACUUUAUGAGAGGUUCGUGUAAUUUACUCAAAAAAUAUAUAUUCUCUACCUUUUUUAUAAUAUCGUUUUAAGAUUUUCGUUUUAGUUUUAUUUAUAUGAUUUUUCAAAGUUUCCUAUAUAAAAUGAAAUGAAAAUCUUAUCAAAAUAUCAAAAAAGCAAUUAAAUAUUAUUAGUUGGUGAUGAUUAUCAAAAAAAGCAAAAAAGCAAUUAAAUAUUAUUAGUUGGUGAUGAUUAUCAAAAAAAGCAAAAAAGCAAUUAAAUAUUAUUAGUUGGUGAUGAUUAUCAAAAAAAGCAAAAAAGCAAUUAAAUAUUAUUAGUUGGUGAUGAUUUUGAAAGUAAUACUUACUUUUGUUCUUAUAUAUUUUGAGUGUACAAUUUAAUUUCAGAAAAUUAAAAAUUCAAAUUAGUAGUUAGAGAGAUCACAAAUGAGUCAAAAUAAUCUAUGUUUCUAUCAUAAAAAUACUAAAAACACUAAUUUAACUGAUAUUAAAACUAAAAAUUUUACAUGUAAUUUUACGGACAACACAAAUAAAUUUUACCAUAAUUUUUUGUGUGUUAUUAAAGGUAUUCCACCUUUUGAGAAAUCUCUUUUAAGGCGCAUGACUGUUUAUCUUAAAGAAGUGUUGUUCUCAAGAAUCAAACUCUUAAUAUUUUGAUAAUUGCAUGACAGAAUUUUACACUACUAGAUUAACAUAUUGUUGGUUGUAAUUUUAAAUAAAUAUACAAGUUGUUAUGUUGCAUUAAAUUAUCCAAAGAAUGUUAAAAAUGACAAGAGUAAAUGAAAGCAAUGGUGAUAUACCACAUGAAUAAAGUGUGAAACAGCAUGAAAAGAAAGCUAAAGAAACACUGAAACAGUGCAGCAGUAGUAGUCGGUUGUUAAUAAAGUACCCCAAUUAUGAAUCACUCCAUCAUCACUUUCCUUAUUAUAUUCUGUUUCCUUCUCCAAAACCUUACACACUCUAACUCUACUACAGAAAUGUCACACUCACUCUUCACACUUACCAUUCUCUUCUUCACACUCUCUUCAUUCGUAACCUCUCACUCCCCUUCUUCGUUGUCUUCUUCUUCUUCUUCCUUCUCAUAUUCCCAACCUCAACCUUCUUCCUCUUCUCCUUUGAUCUCCGAAUGGCAAUCCGCACACGCCACCUACUACGCCGCCUCCGAUCCAC
rnacentral:lncRNA from 1 species